UACGUAGGGGGCAAGCGUUGUCCGGAAUCAUUGGGCGUAAAGAGCGCGUAGGCGGUUCGGUAAGUCCGUUCUGAAAGUCCAGGGCUCAACCCUGGGAUGCGGAUGGAUACUGUCGGGCUCGAGUCCGGAAGAGGCGAGUGGAAUUCCCGGUGUAGCGGUGAAAUGCGCAGAUAUCGGGAGGAACACCAAUGGCGAAGGCAGCUCGCUGGGACGUGACUGACGCUGAGACGCGAAAGCGUGGGGAGCAAACGGG
rnacentral:rRNA from 1 species